rnacentral:rRNA from 1 species
AAGCUGGAAUCGCUAGUAAUCGCGAAUCAGAAUGUCGCGGUGAAUACGUUCCCGGGUCUUGUACACACCGCCCGUCACACCAUGGGAGUCAGCAACGCCCGAAGUCAGUGACCCAACCGAAAGGAGGGAGCUGCCGAAGGCGGGGCAGGUAACUGGGUGAAGUCGUAACAAGGUAUC